GUGGGGGCGGGGCGGCAGCGGCAGCCAUGGCGGCGUCCGUGGUUCCGGAGACGGACAGCAUUCGCAGGGCCGUGCUGCUGCUCAACGCCGUGGACCCGGGCCGGUUCCCGCGCCUGCUGUCCCGCCUGCUGCAGAGGCUACACCUGAAGGCUGAAACCAGCUUCAGUGAAGAGGAAGAAGAAAAACUUCAGAUAGCUUUCUCACUGGAAAAGCAAGAUCUUCAUCUCGUUCUUGAAGCCAUAUCGUUCAUUUUGGAACAGGCUGUUUAUCACAAUUUGAAGCCUGCUUCACUGCAACAACAGCUGCAGAGCAUUCACCUGGACCAAGACAAAGCUGAAGCAUUUGCCAAUGCAUGGGCAGCUGGAGGUCAAGAGACGAUUGAAAAGUUCAGACAGAGGGUUUUGACCCCUCAGAAGCUUGAAACAAUUGGUUGGCAGCUUAAUCUUCAAAUGUCUGCAUCCACGCAAGCAAAGCUGAAAUCUCCUCGAGCUGUGCUAGAGCUGGGUGUGAGCAAUGAAGAUUCAAAGGAAGUCUGCAGGAACCGAUCACCCAUGGAGAGGGUAGCAUCAGCCAUGGAGAUAGUGAGAACCCAUCCGGGCAUGAUCCUGCACAUCCUGCUGUGGGUGAUGCUGCUGGAGAGGGCGGCUGGACUGCGUGGUCUCUGGAGAGAAAACAUUUGAUUAUCAAAGAGAGAAACGUCCUUGAGAAUGUGGGCUGCUGUAGUAUGGAGCUGUGCUAUUCUUGUCGACGCCAUCAAAAGUGCUGAGUGUCUUUUUCUACACAGCAAGGCAGCGUUAAGAAAAGAUCAGAGAGGGCCUUUAUACUGCACCUUGGCAGAGGUGAAUGCACGCCUCAUUUUUUCCACCUUGACUGCAGAAGAGGCUGGACCAGUGUCCUCAUAAGCAUGCCCUGUGCCCUGCCCAGCGUGAGGCAGAGCUUGCAGAGGGUGAGCUGGGAGCUUGCCCCCGUCAGAUCCCUUGCCUCAAGCCCAGCAUACAGCCUCCUCCCUUCCUUCUAUGGAGGGCGUGCAAUGGGGCACGCAGCUGCCGGCUCCCUGUGCUCCCUUGCACCUUGCUUCACUAGCGAGUUCGGUUCCCUCAUGCAGCCCUUGUCAUUUGUAGUUGUCAUAAUUUCCUGUCAUAGCUGCUCUUUUCCUCCCCCCUUGCGAUACUGCAGGGUUCAGCUCUAUGGCUGAUGUGCUUUUACUGCAGCCUGCUAGAUUUUUCUUCAUCUUAAUAUAUUAUUUAUGAUGCUAUUAUUCCUUGCAGCGGACUGCCAGCCACAUUCUGACUACAGUUGCUGCCCUUCCAAAAGCAUCACGGCCAGCAAAAGAAAACUCUGAUCUAAUUGAAUUAACGGUGGUGCUGUUAGCCUUAAUAGAGUUUGUCAUGAAACGCUAAGCAGAUGUGACAAUGAUCUCGGUUAGUCAUAUUUUUGUCCCUGCUCCCAGACACGGUAACUGUUAGCCAGAUCAGUGGGGAGGACAAUUCUCCUUUGCUGAUCUGUAACUGUGUUUACCUGGACAUGCGGCAACUGCUUUGGACCGGUGGCUGAAAUAAGCCAAGGAAUUGAGCACCAGAAAGUUUUACGUUCUGACAAUAAACUUGGCUAAUUAAAACAAGACGCAGAUGGUACUGCCACCUAGCAAUUUUCACCUCAGUUACUCUGACUCCAAUUAUAGCCUUUUCCCACCAGCUUACACUGUUUAAAUUACAAAGUCAGGGGACAGACGACUAUUUACCUGUUUCUAUUCAUGCAAGGAAGUCUAACACAUCGUUUUCUUGCACAACGCACCUGAUGAUGGUUUCAGUGCUUAUUCUGAAAACAAAAGCAUCUCCAUUCCUUAAAAAAUAGGGGAAGGAAAAGUAAUAAAAAGACCACUUGGAGACUCGUUAGCAGGCACACACAUUAGCAGGAAGUGUGUGCAUAUUACUCGCACAAUGUGUUCCUCUAACACUUGUUGGUUAGAGCAGGUGCCAUACUUCUGGGAAAUUAACUUUAAUUGGAUAAAUAGUAGAAAACUGGCCUUUGCUAAGCUGGUCCAACACGCUUGUCUUAGCUUAUUAUUGUCUGUAGAUAUUCUGAAAAGUCUGAUGCUGCUCUCUUGGGUGGCUUUUGCUUCUUCCUGGAGCAGACUGCAUUCACAGGGUGGGUCUGGAUAAACAGCUGCCAAGAAUGGGUGACCUUUGGUUGGUCCUGCUGUAAUGCAGGUGGGGUGGACAUGACCCGUGCUUGGGGUCCUCUGCACUGCUCUAAAAUGAGAUUUACAAGCAAGCUUUGUAGAGCAGGAUUCCACAUCCAGCCCUGCAAGAGAGCAUGGAGCAAUUCUGCCCUGGCUGACUUUAUGACUAGAGGAAUGAACUGGAGUCACAUCCCAGACUGGGCCUAUUGCCCAAACCACUGUAUUUUCCCCAGGGUUGGAGCAUUACUGCUGUGGCACCACUUUAUGUGUAAAAUCAUUCAUUCUGCUGGUAAUAAAUGGCACUGAACUGCCUGUGCUUUUUGUGGGUUAGAAGCAGGGCUCUGCCUGUUUCUUUUCACCUGAGGAUGUUUCAGUUGCAGAAUAUUCCCCGCUAUUGAAGCUACGAUGAGGCAGGACUUGCAAAGUUGUCUUUGAAAUUGCACGCUAGUGCUGUGUAAAAAAGUGUCUCUAUUGGAGGGAGAGUGGGGAGGAGGAACAGGAUUUCUUUACAUAGAUCUAUGGCUUUUGAGUAAUUCAGCUAGGCUACAUCUUGUGUAAAAAGAUUUGCUCAAAUUAGAGCUGAUUGUAAAGGAACUUCUGUGCACCCUCAAUUAGAUGCUAAAUGAGAUCAAGAUGAGUACCAUUACUGUGAUGGAUAUGGUGACAUUAGCCUGUUUGAGUUGCUCGAAGCACACCUGCUCCUCCUGGCUGUUUUCCUCUUUGGCCAAGCCAAACAGUGAAUUUCUGUGGGGUAGUACAAGAGGCUCCUUCAGGGGAUGGAUCUCAGCAUCCACUUAAUGCAGGGGCUUUUCUCGCCUGCAAAAAGCCACAGCACUGGAUCAUCUGGGGUGCUGAGGACACUUCUCUCCUGGAAGAGCUGUUUGUGCUCAGCAGAGGGAACCAUCCUUGGCAGCAUCCUGCUGCUUUGCAGGCCAUGGUCCCAUAGGGCAGUGAGAUCUGACGCCCUGCCUCCUUCCUUCAUCCCUGUCCUGCACUCCUUCCUUCAUGUCUGGGCUUUGACAUGACUUCCCUCUCACCACAUGCAGGGGGAUGAGCCUUGCAAAGGAGCCAGCCAUGCCACUGCUGGAGGCCGAUUUGGUCACUCCCAUUAAGCCUGGCAUGAUCUAAGGGAACAACUGGGACCGUCUGGCAAUGAAGCAGACAGCUGGCAAGCACCUUCAGCGGGACCAGGGAGUAUUGAGCUCAGAAAAACAAACAAACAAACAAACAAAAAAGGAACUGCGAGCAAUGAAGCAUGGAUAUACAGUUACUUAUAGAGAAAUGUUAAUAGUACUGAGGUAUUGUCACUGAAUAGUUCCCCUAGAUGCUGCUUGGUUGAUGUGUUUCAGAACAAGCUGCACAAAGUAAUAUCAAAGGGGCCAGCUGUGGGCUGAAGAGCACCUGGAGGGCUUUCCCUUUCCUGUUUGGAGCACACAGGCCUCACGCAUGCCUGUGGAGCACUGUGAGCCAUACGCAGUGCCCUUGGUCUCCAGAUUAGGGGCCAUGCCUGGGGGAACGUCAUCCCCACGUGCCUCUGUGUGCCAGCAUGCCUGGACACCUCAGCUGGAAGGAAGGCUACACCUGAGGUGAAAUUAGAGAUGUCUGCGGGUGAAGCACUGAAAAAUAUUGGUGAGAUGGAACUGUCCAGGGCCUCCUGAUUUCCACUGAUGAGAGAGUGUGCCAAGGCUUUGUGACAUCUCUUUUUAAAUUCAUGGUCUCUGCUCCACGAGUUAUGCUCGUACUUCACCACUUUCUGCUGAGCCUGCGUCACACCAUCUGCGGUGUGAGAUGGGUGAAGGCGUUCAUGAGCAACGAGUGCCCUGGCCAUACAGCAAAGCCUGUGUGUGACCUCGGUGUACAGGGGGUAAAUUUUUCAGUCUAAUCCCUUGUUUCUAGGUGAUGACAGAAAGCUUGUGUCACAAAACAAAAUCAACAAGGCCUGCCACUGACAUAGCUGAGUGUUCACUGCUGUGUGUAAGCAGUCCACACAUGCACAGCAUCAGCUCAGAGAAUACAGGUAUGUUUUAAUCGCUGCCAGGAAUAGAGAGAUAGUAUGCACUUCUGUUAUUUAUCUGUUUACUAACAUCUUGCAGACUUAAAGUCUCAGGCAACAGGCUCUAAAUUAGGCCUAUAAAGUACAAUAGAUCUGUGCCUGCUAGAAGAAAGCACAGGCUCUCCCAUUAUUAAUGUGCAGAACCUGGAGAUGAACUCACAUCUAUAGGAUGAUCUAUUUUGGUGAGCCACGUGUGCUUAAAUCCCUGCCUCAGUGUGUUAAACCACCAAGUCUGCCAUAAAUAUUUGAUGAUGAACAAGCUAAUAAAAUGUGGGAUAUCAACAGAGGGAGAGCAAAUGUGUGAUUCAGUUUGUAAUUACCACCACUUUACUCUAAAGUCAACUUAUUUUCUGUUCAGAGACUGAAAACAACACUUUUCUUUCUUCAACCUUUGAACAAAAACCAUGGAUCCUCACAGAAACAAAGGAACUAGGGCACAAGAAAUAAGGUAGAACAGUCUGGUUUUAUUACCAUAUGUAAUCAAGAGCUUUUGUUUCCCCCUUUCUUCAUCUUCUUUCCUUCCUUUUUUUUUUUUUUUUUUUUUCCUUUUCAUUUUCUCUUUUUUUUUUUCCUUUUUCUUUUUUACAACGUACAUUAAGGUGUGAAUCUGAUGUUACGGAGGGAUGUGGAAAUGAA